rnacentral:lncRNA from 1 species
UCUUUAAAUAAAAAAAAACUACAAUGUCGUCAUCCAAAAUUGUCAUAUUUUGUGUCAUCCUCGUCUUACUUGCUAAUCUCCAUGAAUGUAGUAUGUCAUUUGUAUAUAUUUUACAUAUUCACCAUCAUGAAUCAAUACUAGUUAGUAACCAAUUUAUAUAUAUUAUCCUCCCUAUUAUUAUUUGUAAUUGAUAUAUUUUUUAUGUUUUAUAUAUACAGGCUUAUUUAAAGCUGACAAGCUAUUGACAAAUCCUCACACAGGAAAGAAGUCUGGAAAACCACCAUGCAAACCAGAAAAAAAUUACUUUGUCUGCUCAUAUAACACCCACAUCCUCAAGCGUAAGAUGUAUAAUCCCCAAGAAUGUUGGACCUAUUGCCCUAACUAAUUAAUUAACCCACCACCUCCAUUUCAAAGAUUUUCUUAAAUUUUUGAAGAGCAUUUUAUAAACCAAUUUUUUUGUUUAAAAUAUAAAUACUAAAUAUUCAUGUGACUUCACUAAAGAAAAUUAUAUCUACCUUAAUAUUGUUUCCUAACAGUAAGUCUUUUCUUUAUUCUAUAUUAUGUUUGUAUUAUUUUAUGUUCACCUUAUUUAGCAUUUUGUAAAUUUUCAUAUAUUAUGAAUGAGAAAAUGGC